rnacentral:rRNA from 1 species
UACGUAGGGGGCUAGCGUUGUCCGGAAUCAUUGGGCGUAAAGGGCGUGUAGGCGGCCCGGUAAGUCCGCUGUGAAAGUCGGGGGCUCAACCCUCGAAUGCCGGUGGAUACUGUCGGGCUAGAGUGCGGAAGAGGAGAGUGGAAUUCCUGGUGUAGCGGUGAAAUGCGCAGAUAUCAGGAAGAACACCCGUGGCGAAGGCGGCUCUCUGGGACGGUACUGACGCUGAGACGCGAAAGCGUGGGGAGCGAACAGG